AGCGGACAGAUGGGAGCUUGCUCCCUGAUGUUAGCGGCGGACGGGUGAGUAACACGUGGGUAACCUGCCUGUAAGACUGGGAUAACUCCGGGAAACCGGGGCUAAUACCGGAUGGUUGUCUGAACCGCAUGGUUCAGACAUAAAAGGUGGCUUCGGCUACCACUUACAGAUGGACCCGCGGCGCAUUAGCUAGUUGGUGAGGUAACGGCUCACCAAGGCGACGAUGCGUAGCCGACCUGAGAGGGUGAUCGGCCACACUGGGACUGAGACACGGCCCAGACUCCUACGGGAGGCAGCAGUAGGGAAUCUUCCGCAAUGGACGAAAGUCUGACGGAGCAACGCCGCGUGAGUGAUGAAGGUUUUCGGAUCGUAAAGCUCUGUUGUUAGGGAAGAACAAGUGCCGUUCAAAUAGGGCGGCACCUUGACGGUACCUAACCAGAAAGCCACGGCUAACUACGUGCCAGCAGCCGCGGUAAUACGUAGGUGGCAAGCGUUGUCCGGAAUUAUUGGGCGUAAAGGGCUCGCAGGCGGUUUCUUAAGUCUGAUGUGAAAGCCCCCGGCUCAACCGGGGAGGGUCAUUGGAAACUGGGGAACUUGAGUGCAGAAGAGGAGAGUGGAAUUCCACGUGUAGCGGUGAAAUGCGUAGAGAUGUGGAGGAACACCAGUGGCGAAGGCGACUCUCUGGUCUGUAACUGACGCUGAGGAGCGAAAGCGUGGGGAGCGAACAGGAUUAGAUACCCUGGUAGUCCACGCCGUAAACGAUGAGUGCUAAGUGUUAGGGGGUUUCCGCCCCUUAGUGCUGCAGCUAACGCAUUAAGCACUCCGCCUGGGGAGUACGGUCGCAAGACUGAAACUCAAAGGAAUUGACGGGGGCCCGCACAAGCGGUGGAGCAUGUGGUUUAAUUCGAAGCAACGCGAAGAACCUUACCAGGUCUUGACAUCCUCUGACAAUCCUAGAGAUAGGACGUCCCCUUCGGGGGCAGAGUGACAGGUGGUGCAUGGUUGUCGUCAGCUCGUGUCGUGAGAUGUUGGGUUAAGUCCCGCAACGAGCGCAACCCUUGAUCUUAGUUGCCAGCAUUCAGUUGGGCACUCUAAGGUGACUGCCGGUGACAAACCGGAGGAAGGUGGGGAUGACGUCAAAUCAUCAUGCCCCUUAUGACCUGGGCUACACACGUGCUACAAUGGACAGAACAAAGGGCAGCGAAACCGCGAGGUUAAGCCAAUCCCACAAAUCUGUUCUCAGUUCGGAUCGCAGUCUGCAACUCGACUGCGUG
rnacentral:rRNA from 1 species